rnacentral:rRNA from 1 species
AGAAUGAACGCUGGCGGCGCGCCUAAUACAUGCAAGUCGAGCGAGAAGACGUAGCAAUACGUUUGUAAAGCGGCGAACGGGUGAGGAAUACAUGGGUAACCUACCCUUGAGUGGGGAAUAACUAGCCGAAAGGUUAGCUAAUACCGCGUACGCUUCUUGGACUUCGGUUCAGGGAGGAAAGCGCUACCGUGGGUAGCGCGCUCUUGGAUGGGCUCAUGUCCUAUCAGCUUGUUGGUGAGGUAACGGCUCACCAAGGCUUCGACGGGUAGCUGGUCUGAGAGGACGAUCAGCCACACUGGCACUGCGACACGGGCCAGACUCCUACGGGAGGCAGCAGUAAGGAAUAUUGCGCAAUGGGCGAAAGCCUGACGCAGCGACGCCGCGUGGGGGAUGAAGGUCUUCGGAUUGUAAACCCUUUCGGGAGGAAGAUGGAAUGGGUAACCCAGUUCGGACGGUACCUCCGAGAAGCAGCCACGGCUAACUCGUGCCAGCAGCCGCGGUAA